CCGCAUACGAGGUGGAAGGCAGAGAGCUCUGGAGCUGGACAGUGAGAUGAGAAGGCUGUCUGAGAGGUGGUGAGGAGCAGCCGUCGGUGGCCUGGUGGUAGCUUAUAGGCCCAGGGCCAUAUGUCCCAGAGUGACAUGCAGGGUUGCAAUUCUGCAAUGACAAAGAACAGCUGCGGUGACCACAGCGUGAACCACGACUGAUGACAAUCUGCAGGGUUUUUUGCAUCGACCUGGCAGCGAGGCUUGCAUAAUGGAUGAUGUCAUCCUUGAAGGCAGAAACCAUGUGUCCCCAGAAGUAUGCUGGCUCCCAAUAAGUAGCUGUUGAAUAAAUGAGUUGCUGGAUAUUAACAACUCACAUUUGCUAA